rnacentral:rRNA from 1 species
GCCCGCUCAAGAAACUAAAAUGAAUGACGGGGGCCCGCACAAGCGGUGGAGCAUGUGGUUAAUUUCGAUGAUACGCGAGGAACCUUACCUGGGCUCAAAUGUAUGUUGACGUAUUCUGAAAGGGAUACUUCUUCGGACAAUAUACAAGGUGCUGCAUGGUUGUCGUCAGCUCGUGCCGUGAGGUGUCGGGUUAAGUCCCAUAACGAGCGCAACCCCUAUCAUUAGUUGCCAUCAGGUCAAGCUGGGGACUCUAAUGAAACUGCCUACGCAAGUAGUGAGGAAGGUGGGGAUGACGUCAAAUCAGCACGGCCCUUACGUCCAGGGCUACACACGUGCUACAAUGGCCGGUACAAAGGGCAGCUACCUGGUGACAGGAUGCUAAUCUCAAAAGCCGGUCUCAGUUCGGAUCGGAGUCUGCAACCCGACUCCGUGAGGCUGGAAUCGCUAGUAAUCGCGCAUCAGCCAUGGCGCGGUGAAUACGUUCCCGGGCCUU